GACGGGGAGCACCACAACGGGUGGAGCUUGCGGUUUAAUUGGAUUCAACGCCGGAAAUCUUACCGGGACCGACAGCAAUAUGAAGGCCAGGCUGAAGACUUUGCCGGAUUAGCUGAGAGGUGGUGCAUGGCCGUCGUCAGUUCGUACUGUGAAGCAUCCUGUUAAGUCAGGCAACGAGCGAGACCCACGCCCACAGUUGCCAGCGUACUCUCUGGAGUGACGGGUACACUGUGGGACCGCCGCUGCUAAAGCGGAGGAAGGAAUGGGCAACGGUAGGUCAGUAUGCCCCGAAUAUCCCGGGCUACACGCGAGUUACAAUGGUUGGUACAAUGGGUAUCUACCCCGAAAGGGGAUGGAAAUCUCCUAAAGCCAAUCUUAGUCCGGAUUGAGGGCUGCAACUCGCCCUCAUGAAGCUGGAAUCCGUAGUAAUCGCGUUUCAACAGAACGCGGUGAAUACGUCCCUGCUCCUU
rnacentral:rRNA from 1 species